rnacentral:rRNA from 1 species
UACGAAGGGGGCUAGCGUUGCUCGGAAUCACUGGGCGUAAAGCGCACGUAGGCGGAUUGCUAAGUCAGGGGUGAAAUCCUGGAGCUCAACUCCAGAACUGCCCUUGAUACUGGCGGUCUCGAGUCCGGGAGAGGUGAGUGGAACUGCGAGUGUAGAGGUGAAAUUCGUAGAUAUUCGCAAGAACACCAGUGGCGAAGGCGGCUCACUGGCCCGGUACUGACGCUGAGGUGCGAAAGCGUGGGGAGCAAACAGGG